rnacentral:rRNA from 1 species
GACGAACGCUGGCGGCGUGCUUAACACAUGCAAGUCGUACGGUAAGGCCCUUUCGGGGGUACACGAGUGGCGAACGGGUGAGUAACACGUGAGUAACCUGCCCACAACUUUGUGAUAACUCUAUGAAACUGGUUCUAAUACUUGCUAUGUUCUCCUUCUGCAUGGUUGGGGUUGGAAAGCUCCUGCGGUUGUGGAUGGACUCGCGGCCUAUCAGCUUGUUGGUGGGGUAGUGGCCUACCAAGGCGGCGACGGGUAGCCGGCCUGAGAGGGUGACCGGCCAAAUUGGGACUGAGAGACGGCCCAGAAUCCUACGGGAGGCAGCAGUGGGGAAUAUUGCAAAAUGGGCGCAAGCCUGAUGCAGCAACGCCGCGUGCGGGAUGACGGCCUUCGGGUUGUAAACCGCUUUCAGCAGGGAAGAAGCUUUUUGUGACGGUACCUGCAGAAGAAGCACCGGCUAACUACGUG